rnacentral:ribozyme from 11 species
UUUUUUUUUUUUUUUUUUUUUUUUUUUUUUUUUUG